AACGAACGCUGGCGGCGUGCCUAACACAUGCAAGUCGAACGAGAAAGGGGCUUCGGCUCCGAGUAAAGUGGCGCACGGGUGAGUAACACGUGGGUAACCUGCCUCUAAGAUUGGGAUAACUCGUCGAAAGAUGAGCUAAUACCGGAUAAGACCACAGUUUCUGCGGGAACAGCGGUCAAAGGUAGCCUCUGCUUGCAAGCUAUCACUUAGAGAUGGGCCUGCGCACCAUUAGCUAGUUGGUAGGGUAACGGCCUACCAAGGCAAAGAUGGUUAGCUGGUCUGAGAGGAUGAUCAGCCACACUGGAACUGAGACACGGUCCAGACUCCUACGGGUGGCAG
rnacentral:rRNA from 1 species